UAUAGGAAUUCAUCAUCAUAUGGCACCAAUUCAGACCUGUAACAUGAAUAAAGAUGUUGAAGGCAGAAGAAACAACUGCAGAAAAAAAAUCCCAGUAAUUUGUUUUAUAACAUCUAGUAUCCCAGGAAGGGUUCCUCUGCUU